CGUCGAACGUAAGAUGACUGUAGGUGAAAGACUUACAUCUCUUCGGAGUCAUUUUACGAGGUGCUGCAUGGUUGUCGUCAGCUCGUGCCGUGAGGUGUCGGGUUAAGUCCCAUAACGAGCGCAACCCUACCCUUUAGUUGCCAUCAGGUAAUGCUGGGGACUCUAAAGAAACUGCCUACGCAAGUAGUGAGGAAGGCGGGGAUGACGUCAAAUCAGCACGGCCCUUACGUCCAGGGCUACACACGUGCUACAAUGGCCGAUACAGAGGGCAGCUACCUGGUGACAGGAUGCAAAUCUCCAAAGUCGGUCUCAGUUCGGAUCGGAGUCUGCAACCCGACUCCGUGAAGUUGGAUUCGCUAGUAAUCGCGCAUCAGCCAUAGCGCGGUGAAUACGUUCCCGGGCCUU
rnacentral:rRNA from 1 species